rnacentral:rRNA from 1 species
UUUUAUGGAGAGUUUGAUCCUGGCUCAGAGUGAACGCUGGCGGCGUGCCUAAUACAUGCAAGUCGAACGAUGAAGCUUCUAGCUUGCUAGAAGUGGAUUAGUGGCGCACGGGUGAGUAAGGUAUAGUUAAUCUGCCCUACACAAGAGGACAACAGUUGGAAACGACUGCUAAUACUCUAUACUCCUGCUUAACACAAGUUGAGUAGGGAAAGUUUUUCGGUGUAGGAUGAGACUAUAUAGUAUCAGCUAGUUGGUAAGGUAAUGGCUUACCAAGGCUAUGACGCUUAACUGGUCUGAGAGGAUGAUCAGUCACACUGGAACUGAGACACGGUCCAGACUCCUACGGGAGGCAGCAGUAGGGAAUAUUGCGCAAUGGGGGAAACCCUGACGCAGCAACGCCGCGUGGAGGAUGACACUUUUC